CAGAGCUGGAUAUAAGUCCAGGCUGUCUGGCUCCAAGGUCAGAAUGCUCCUCAAUACUGCUCAAAUGUAUUUUGCGUUCACUAAUCAAGUGCUAUACUAGGAAAUGUCUCCUUCACUUCUAUCUACCUGCCCUCAAAAACCUGGGAUACCUCGUGUGCUGGAUCUGUUGGCGCAUUUCUCUGGACAUGGCCUUUGUGGUCCCCAGAGGGGUAUGGAGAGGCAGACAGAUAAGGAGAUGACUGGUAUUGAAAAGAUGGCUUGUUACUCACAGGUCCCAAAAGAAGAGGAUACACCGAGUCACCCAGAGCCACACAGGAGAAUACCCAGGUCCGGAGUUCACUACAGUGUCUGUGCAAAUCCAUAUCAGGAGGCUGAUGGGUCUGCAGUAGAAGACUGAUGAGUCUACAAUGAAAAACUGAAGGAUCCAUGGCAGAAGCCAAAGCGUCUAUGCAGAAGACUCUGAAGAGUCUGCGUUGGAAGCCAGGAGGUGAUAUCCAAGGCAACCAAAUGCAGAUAUCUGAUAAAACAAAAUUAAAGUGAGCAUCAGGGAAGAGCUGACUGGAAGGAUGGGUCACAGAAAGUGUGUGGAAGCCUCCAUCUUUGAAACCCAAAGUGCAAAAGAGCUCUGAGGACAUGUAACUAGAAGCCACUCCAGUUACUCUCCCCCUCUGCGGUGGACCCGUGUCACCUGCCGUCCUGGCAUCAUCACCCAGGCAUGCACUGUCACACUCCCAACCGGAAUGUCAGCUUGCUGUUUGAGAUUCACACCGACACUCGGUCCCCAGAGGACUCCUCCGGAGCCAGGGCGGCCUGCGCUUGGGAACACAUGAAAGCACAGGAGUCCCCUGGCUUCUUGGCAGCACUUCAAGCGCUAACCCAAUGAAGAGAUCUUGACAGCAUACUUGUAAACUCCACAGGCCCCCAGGGCUCAAACACCACGAUAUUUAUGCUAGCGGGUGGAAAGCCAAAACAGUUGGGUUGUUAUGCAGACAGAGGACUCAGAGUCAGACCAGCAUUUCUGACACCUGUUAAUUGGCAUUUGAAAGAACUGAGCUGAGGGGGAUGGGGGCCUUUGGAGCUGCUGCCAACCUGUACCUGAACAGCAGGGAGCCCAGGGAGGUUCUGCACACCCUCCCCCCACCAACUGGUAGGAGAUUCCCGGGGGAGCAGGGUUGAGCACGGAAGUCCAAAGUUUACUAGAAAGGAUAGGCAGAGAAAGGAAAAAAAGAGGAGGGAGGGUGGGAAGAAAAUGACCAGGAGAGAAAGUAAGAAACGGAGAGAGAGAGGGUGGGUAUUUUUAGAUUUGCUAGCACAGAGUUUUAUGCUGGAGACACCCUGGUCCCUGUUUCUGCAGUACCAGUGCCAGUGGUGCAGGUGAAAAAUGCAGUCCUGUCCCCUUUCCUCCUGAGGCCACACUUUCCAUCCUCUUUCCCAAGGUCCACUCCAGGGAAUCCUUCUCCAAAGACCUCCUCUCUGCAAACCCAGAGGUCUGGGCCCUCUUCCUUCUGGAACUCCUAUUGGAACCCUCACUGGACACCCCAGAAUUCCUGUGUGUGCCUCGCACAUCUCCUCUCUGAUGUCACCCUAUGCCACCCCAACUCCCUGGGAUCAUAUUAGAGACCUUUUCUGGCCUGCGGUGCCUGCACAACUUCAGACUUAGAGUGGUUUCUCGAUGUCCACAGAUGAGAGAUUGGUUUCCUCCCUCUCUCUGAGUGUCUUUUUCAGUUCUAGGCACCUUCUACCCCAUCCAUUUCCACUCAGCAGAGCCCUGACCGUCCCCAUGCAGCCUCCAGCUGGUUAACAGAGCUCUGUGAGUCUUUCCUUACAUCUGUCCCACUUUACCCUGUUUGAUCUUUGGUGAGACUAAGUUGAAAUGACUUAGUAAAAAUGGCUUCGUAUUUCUUUAUUUUUAGUACUCAGAGAAUAUCCACACCAUCCCUAGUUAUGAAAUGACUCGUGUUCCAAAGUCAGCUUGCAUUUAAAUCUGGAAAUCCAUAGAAAUUUUAUAAAUGUAUUCACUCAUCAAGUACAUUUUGAGCACUAUCACAAAGAUAACACUACUUUAGGUGCUGGGAAAUCUAUAGAACACAAAGAAUGUAAAAAUCCAUGUCCUCAGAGAUUGAUUUUAUAUUCUGGUCAGGUAGAUAAUCCACAAAUAAGCAAACAAAAUAUCUAAAGUGCCACAUGAUCCUAAGUAGCACAGAAAAGAAUGAAAUGGAGAAAUGUAUGGGGCGGAAACUGGAAAUUUGUUGAUACAGAAAGACCUUAUCUGAGAGAGACUUGAAAGAGUGGAGUAGUCGAGACCCCAGCUCAAAGCAAGAUUAGUGUUAAAGAACAGCAGAAAGGCUAGAGGGGCUGGAACAGGACAUAAAUGGGGAGAGAAAUCUAUGGGUGAGUUUUUCCAGCCAGCCUAAUAGCAACCUCUUGAGUCCAUAAAAUGCCAAACUGAAAUUUGAAUUCAAUAAUAAACAUUUACUGAAUGCCUAGUACAUGCAGGAUUGGUGCAAGGUGCUGGAACUAACUCUUUCAACUCCCCUUAGCCAUGGUUCUCUGGAAAUAUCCCUCAGAAUGUCACCUGAAGAGUGCCCCUCUCAGUGGCAAAGGGGCUAGAAGAUAAGACUCAAUGACCUACAGACAAAAAUGUUUUUAGAGACAACUUAUAAUAUUAGAACUAUUCCUUGAUUUAGUCUCAGAUAUUUGAUUUGUUGCUGACUUUUUUGUGUGUCCCUGAACAAGUUAUAUAACCUUCGUGAUCCUUGAUUUCCUGGAGAUGAUAAUAACUGUUUUGCUUUCCUGUGAAAUUUAAAUGAAG